rnacentral:lncRNA from 1 species
UAGGAGGCCCAUUAAUUCCAUUGCAGAAAUGAGCCACAGGGACGCCGGGCUUUGUGGCUGGUGGUGAUCCUGUUGCUAGGCUGCUGAAAUCAAACAGUCAUAAUUCACUAGUGAGGAGGCGGACUGCUGAAUCCCUUCCAAUCUUGCACUGUCUCCUCCAUCAAAGGAUGCAUAAUGUUCUAUGUCACCAGUGAAAAAUAAACCCACUCAAAAAGGAACACAGAACCAACAGCAAUCUGCAAAUAUAAGCAGAGAAAAAGCCACCCUCUUGGAAGGGAGGACAGGCUUCUGUCUUGCUGUCAGCAAGACAAGUGCUCUCCGUGGGGAUGGGUCUGUGCCUCUUCCCUGUAAGGACCAGCCUGUGGUGGGCAGAUGGCCCAGCCAGCUGUGCCAUGCCACGGGUACAGCUGACAGCCAUCAGUGAGCAAAGGGAAUGACUCCUAUGGAAAUCAAGUACGCUUCACUUACCGUCGGUGUCA